AUGAAGUCGCAGCCUCUGCCUUCGUGCUUACGUUCUACGCCCGGAUCGGAGACGGGAUUCACAAAUAAAACCUGGGUUUCCCUUAGGCAGCAUUUACCGUGUGCGGCGUGGUCCGCGGCCGAGGGAAGGAUGUGCAGGGCCUGGGACUCGGGGCUGCAGCCAGGGCAGCGAGGCUCUACGCCCGGAGCUGGCCUGGCAUGGGCACGGCCAGUCGACUGGAAAAGGUGCCAGCCGGCUCCUGGAGCAGGUGUCUUGGAGCAGGAGCUGCAUGAGGCCUUACCUUGGAAGGGACUCCUGUCCCAUGGCCACUGUGGAUUCCCAACCUCCGCCCGCCCGGUGCUCCGGGAGCCCUGGCCUCAGUGUUGUGUUCCUGUCUCUGAACUGCUUAGGGCCAUAGGCUUCUUCAGUCCCUUUGCUUCUCCUCCCCUGGGACAGUUUUGCCAAAAACACUUCCCCACAGCAUUAAAAACUCUUUGAGGAUGUAAGUGCCCAAAGACGGGGUAAUCUUCAGGGCAAGGAGGGACACCGAGUGAGGGAGUACAUCUCCACAAACCUGAAGCAUCGUGGAUGGAGGGAUGAGUCCUCCAAAACAGGUAGGAAACCCCAAUGGGUGUCUUGCUGACAUUUAGGAGGGCUCUUCCUCCUUCUGAUUUUUUUAAAAGGAUUAGAAUCCACAGAUUCAAGGAGUGUAACAUGUCCCAGGAAAAACAAAUUCAGUAAAAAAGUUAUUAAAGUUAGCAGAGAAAAUUCUCUGGCACAUUUGGGAAAAUCAGCUUAUCUCUUGGAGGGAAAGGGGCAUGAUAUCCCUAAACCUUUCUAUAGCACUCAAAUGUGAAAGGUAGUGGGACAGUGUGUACUAAGUUCUUAGAGAUGAAAAUGUGACUUAACAUUUUAUCGGCAAACCAGCAGCUAUCAGGUAGAAAGACAACAGACAGGUCUUCUUAGG
rnacentral:lncRNA from 12 species